UUUUAAAUUGUCAAAUAAUCAUUAUUUCUUUAAAAUACUUGGUUGGUUAUUUAUUUAAAUAAACACAUAUUGUUUUCUCAUAAGUUAGAUUUACAUUUUGUCGAAAUAAUGACUGUAUUUUCUAACUUUUAAUGACUUAUGUUCUCAUAUUUAUUUUAUUUACUAUACUAUAAUAAAUUACUUUUAUAGACUUAUUCUUGUUUAUAACCACCACUCUUUGACAAAAAUCCUCCCAUAGUUUUAUUCAUGCAUAGGUGUUUAUAAUGGGAAGAAUAAAGGUUAAUAUGCAGUAGAGAAGAGAAUCAGGAGGAAUGGGUAGAAUAUAGCUGAUAUAAAACCAGCUGUUCUCAGUAACUGAGAGCUCUCAACAUUUUUAUUUCUAACUUUAGCAGAAAACCUAAAACCUGUUCUGUCUCUUACUGGAGCUGCAAACACAGAUAUGCUGAUACUGAGUUAUUCAUGUGAAUUAAUCAACAAAUACUCAAACAAAGUAUAUUGUUUUAAAGAGGUUCAUCAAUGAAUUCUGAGAAUUAGGUUCAGUAUGAUCUAAUUUAAAAAGCAGACGGGGCUGAAACAAUCUUUAUAACUUCAGUGCGAAUGGGUGGAGCUAAACUACUGUAGGUAAAAUAGAUGAAUUUUGGGGAAUAGGUAAGUAAAGCUUUUUAUAUCUUAGUUUCUAAAUAGACUCUACCUUUUUAUUUCAUUAUUAAAUAUAAGUAAACUGUUCUUUAGCCUGUGGCCUCGGCUCAUCACCUGGUCACCGGCCACUGAUUACUAUGAUUAUUCAUUUGAUUUGGCUCCAGGUCUACAGCCUGUUGGUUCAGCUUUAUAGUAAUUUAUGGAUCAUGUGACAGGCAGGAGUCAUAUCAGUUGGCUGUAAACUUCGCACUAAUUUAACCCAUUAAGCUUUAAUUUGUUUUUGGCUCUGAAUAUAAACUAAAACACACAUGAACGUGUACAGAGUUCACCACACUGCUGCUCCACUCUCAACUCUGACCCCGUCCGUGCUGCUCAGACCACAAUCCAGCUCUGUCUCAACACCAGUCUCCACAUGCUCAUCAAGUCCUGACGCUACAGGCUGCACUCCAGUUUCCACUGAUCCAGUCAUCAGAGUCAAAAGUCACAUGGCCCCGGCCAGCGAGAAGACCAGCCCGAGCUGCAGUGACGGAGCCAAGAUGGCGGAUUAAGACUUGCAGGUGGUGCCAGGCAGUGCGCUAAACUCAGAACCAAAAUGGCGGAUCAAUGAAGAUCUUAAUGGCACGGAAUGAAAGAGAUGGGUAACAGAGGCUGCCGGGUUUGUGUGCCCACUGUAUAACGGGCGGGUGGGGCAGGAGAGACUUACUUAGCACCGGCGAACGUGCCCCGCUAACCCACCCCACGGCCCAAUAGGGGGGUCCCUGCUGCCGUGGCGGGGUGAAGUACCCUCUGAUUGAUGGCACAGCUUCAGCUCGAAGCCUCUGUGCCCAUGUGCGGUGCCCCCCUCCUUCCUUUAUUCUACUGAUAUGCUGGCACUCAUGCCAAGCCCAUCCCCUGCCAGCUCCCAGUAGACACAUCAAUUAUAGCGGGCAUCGCUUCUAUCUCUCUCCUCCCUCUCUUUCUUACUCAAACACAGC
rnacentral:lncRNA from 1 species